UUUCCAUACACUUUAAUGAAUAAUGCGCUUGAACAUGUCACCUCCGAAAGGGACUUGGGUGUUGUAAUUGAUGAUAAACUCAGCUUUGAAGAACACAUGCAAUCAAAGAUAAACAAGGCCAACAGGCUUAUGGGCUUGAUCAGACGAACUUUUGUUUAUCUUGACAAAAAUAACUUUGCUCUGUUAUAUAAGUCGCUUGUCCGACCACAAGUUGAGUAUGCCCAUGCUGUGUGGAACCCUAUACUGAAGAAACAUAUACAUGCAUUAGAGAACGUACAAAGAAGGGCAACAAAAUUAGUCCCUGAAUUAAGGAAGCUUUCCUAUCCACAACGACUUAAACAGUUAAAAAUCCCAACUCUGGCUUAUCGAAGAGUUAGGGGUGAUAUGAUUGAAACAUAUAAACACUUUAAUAAUUAUGAUCAAUGUACAAAACUUAAUCUAGAAGAAAAAUAUAGUGAACAUACCAGGGGUCACAGUAAAAAAUUGUUCAUACCAAGGACAAAGACCCAAAAAUAUAGGAAUUCUUUUUAUGUUAGAAUACGUAAGACAUGGAACAGCCUAAAUAAUGAUGUUGUCACUGCCCCAAGUGUGCACAGUUUUGAAGCUGCCCUGGAUAGAUGCUGGAAAAAUGAGCCAAUAAAAUAUGACUACGAAAGCCCUGUUCCCGGAAGUGAGCCAGCCAUCUUGAGGAGGAAAAACCUAGAACUGAAUACAGAGGCAUAACGUGCCUACAUUCAGAAACUUCCCUAGGUAUCCCUAGAUGUAGGUGAAUGCACCGCACAUUGUAGCAUGCCUGUGAUUGAUUAUAGUCUGUAGCCCUGCCAUGGAUAGUGGAUCUCUCUUUUGGCUGUGCCUCAAGGAGGCUCAUUUGGGCCACUAUUCUUCAUCAUUUCAGGACAGGGGCAUUAGUGAUCUGGAGAGGUUGGCAACCCUGUCCAUGCAUGAGUACAAUAACUAUGGCGUAACUUCACCCCAGGACAAGAAAAAACUUUUUAGAUUAAUCCACACACUGCGCACCUUGGAUCUAAACAAGCUCUCUGAUCUAAAUGGAUCGGACCAACAAGUCAAGUCUAUUGAAAGCAACACACCCAACAACAUGCCCAAUAAAGAUAAAAAUAAUCACCAUGGGAGUACUGGUAGAAAGGGAGCCAGGAAACACCAUGACAACAUGGCUCAUGAGUCUGGCAGGAAUACUGAAAUGGUGCAAUCAGACAGGAAGCAGAAUGAAAACGAGCACCACAUACCAAAACUGGGUGAUACACCAAAGAACAGUGUAUUGAAUAGAACUUUUGAUAAAGAUGAUGGAUCGGAUAAAGAUAGAAGUCAUGAUUCUCCCACAACAGAAAAUAUAAAAGACCCUAGUAAAAAUUGUGAUAUUGGAGUUGAUGAUAGCCAAGUCUUGAUCUUGGAGCAGGGCAAUGCUGGGUAUAAUUAUGGGGUACCUUCACUUACACCGACCACCCAAUCUAGACAGACUUCAGGGAUGAAGCCAGCACAUACUUCCACCCCUCAUUUGAGAAAUGGUGUUAUGGUAGACGAGAAGAUAAAGGUUUGUGUACGGAAAAGACCAAUGAACCAGAAGGAGAGAAGGGCAGGAGAGGGAGAUGCUGUUGCGAUAGAAGGCGCCAACACAGCACUCGUGAAAGAGAGGAAGCUGACUGUGGAUCUAACCAAGGUUGUUCAAAUGCAUAAGUAUAUCUUUGAUGAAGUUUUUCAUGAAAAAUGCAGCAAUGAAGAAGUCUAUGAGAGGACAGCUAUGCCACUAAUACAGAAGAUAUUCAAAGGAGGCAAAGCCACUUGCUUUGCCUAUGGGCAGACUGGAGCUGGAAAAACUCACACAUUACUUGGAGGGCAAGGGGGAAAGGUCAAAGGUCUCUAUUUACUUGCCGCUGAAGACAUCUUUACUAUCAUCAUGUCUUCCCCGGAUGGUCAUGGUGUCUCUGUGUACGUGAGCUACUUUGAGAUCUACUGUGGUCAGCUUUGUGAUCUACUCAAUAAUAGGGAGAGAUUACAUGCUAGAGAGAAUGCUCAUCAUAAAGUAUGUAUCUCAGGCUUGAAUGAAAUCAGAGUUAAUGGACCUCAAGCUCUCAUGCAGGUUGUUGAGGCUGGUAAUAGCUAUCGAAUGGUGGGAGUAUCAGGUGUCAAUGCCGAAUCAUCAAGAUCACAUGCUAUACUACAGAUACAAUUAAAAGACAAGGCAGGCAACAACAUUGGAAAAUUAUCAUUCAUUGACCUAGCAGGUAGUGAGAGAGCAUGUGAUACCAAUGAUACUGAUAAGACUAAUAGACAAGAAGGAGCUGAAAUCAACACUAGUCUACUUGCACUCAAGGAGUGUAUCCGCGCCCUUGACCAGGAGAAACGCCACACCCCAUUCAGACAGAGCAAACUGACCCAGGUCCUAAGAGAUUCAUUCCUGGGGCAGUCUCGGACCUGCAUGAUUGCGUGUGUGGCACCUAAUACCAGUGCAGUAGACCACACCCUAAAUACUCUCAGAUAUGCAGAUAGAGUGAAAGAGCUGAGACAAGGAGGGUUAGGAAACAGUCCUGCUCCUGAUUCUUCAAUUACCAUAGCAACCAAACAUCCUCCGACACCAUCCAACUUUAGUCCUGGUAGUACAUCUACUCCCCAAAAGUUCAAGAAAUCUAAGCAAGAUAACUCUUCUUCUAUUCUUGAUAGUGAUUUGAGCCACAGGAGGGCCAGUGCAGUCUCUCCCACCAAGAAAACCGGUAAGAGCAGAAUGGAAACAAGGCGAAAGAGUGCACCCGAUACCUCUCCAACCAAGACUCCAACAGGUGGUGAAUCCAGUAACAAGUUUGCUGCGGGGAAGAAAUCUACAUCACAUCAGAAUCUUCAGAAAGUGACAAAUAAGCAGGGUAAAGCUGAGAAGAGGAACAAAGGUGAGUUGUCGAUGUUGAAGCAUGAGCAGGUUUCCAAGGCCGCUGGGAACAAGUCGGUAGAGAAGACGAGGGUGAUUCAGUCCGGGAUAAAGAUGAGAGAGAACAGAACCUUGGAGGAGAGGAGGAUGAGAGCCAUUGCAAACAGGAGCAGGUUUGAAGAUAUGAAUCUCUCUCUUGGCAAUGAGACACCUUCCAAGAGAACCCCAGAGGUCAGGGCAAGAAUGAAAAAGGCAUUCCUGAACAGCAGUCUCCCUAUCUGGGAUUUAAACCAGCAGGAUACAGGGACACCUUCGCCUUCUUUGCCAACUCCUCCUCCACCUCAGAAGCUUGAAUUUGAGAAUCCAAGGUAUAUUGAGAGUCCCUCCAGAGAGCGACAAAAGACUGAUGAUCAAAGGACAUGGGCCCAGAAAGUGGCUGAUGAGGGCAAGGUUAAUAUCCCGUACAGAUUCGAUGUACCCAAUCCUAGGUAUAGUCGGCAACAAGAGCAUCCUGAGGACAUCGAGAGUGGUUACCUGCCUGAUAUGGAUACAGAGAUCGAAACACCUAGGAGUGAUCCUACAGAUCAAAUUGAUGAUGAUAUUGCAAGAGUUGGCCAAGAGCAAGAACGUAAGUCUGGCAAGAAGUCUUCUGUUGAUGGAGAUGUAUUCAAUAGCCAUAAUGAAAUACAUUUAGAGGAAGUUCAAGAAGUCAGGGUUAGUUCAGGGGUUACCCACUCCAAAGAGAUUGAUGGGAGGUCCAGGACAUCAAGCUCUGAAUCUCGACCAUUGAGUAGAUCCAGUGACACUGGUGAACUUCUCGCAGAGAUAGAGAGAUCGCUCCAAAGGUCGCCUGUACCUGUCACACCCAGACCAGGGUCAGAGCCAUGGAUGAGAGUCAUUUCAGAAGACAAGUUUCAUGAAAAUAUCUCUCCAGCUGAUUCACCAAGGGGACAAGCAACAGAAAAGUCUUCUGUUGGUGCUAAGAAACAACUUUUUGGUGCUGAAAAACAGUUCGAUACUGAUAAGGAUGUGCUCAUGGAUAGGAUUGGAAACUUAGAGGAGUCCGGGGGAGAAUCACCAAUGAAAAGGAAGAUGAAGCAAACAUUGGGUAUGAGGAAUAACAGCGAUGAUACUGGCACCAGGAUAGGAACUAUUUCAAAGGAAAGUCCUGAUAAUCAGAGAUCUUCUCAUGUACUUAGGGAAAAAUUGCACCAUUCUGGACUCUCUCAGAGACAGCUUCUUGGAGAUGCUGGAUCUCCUCAAGUGGCAAAGGAGACAUUUUCUGAGAAUUUACAGUUGCACAACAGAAGCAAGGGUGACGGGAAAGAUGACAGGGUGCAAUCUUUACAAACUGGAUAUCCACAGGCAGACAGGUCCUCUAAUGGUUCUAGACCAAUUGUCAAAAAGGGUAAGGGGACAUCUUCUCAGGAGGUGUUCUAUUCUGCACAAAGUCACCUUCCAGUUUCUCCAUAUGGUUCCCAGAGUACAAACUAUGUAACCCCAGAAGAGAGCAGUCUGGAACAGCAACGAAUAGCGGUGUCCUCAACUCCGAAGGCAUUCAAGCAUGAAUCCUUGGGAAUGGACGUGUCUCUCUCACACUUAUCAUUAUCAACCAUUCAAUCACCUGCCAAGGGGUCUCAGAAUCCAAACUCUGAGACGAAAAACCAGUCUUUCGUAUCAGCACGUGGAGUGGUCAGUGGACAAGAAAACCAAAGGGAUGAAUGUGAGGAGACGACACUUCCAAUCUCGCCUCGUGUGACCUUGACCAAGUCCAAGAGUGAGGGUAGUCUGAUGAGGACAUCAGGGAUUGGCCAAAGCUGCAAUGAUGAACCAGUUGGCACCAGCCCUACACUUCAACCUCCUCAGAGACCAGUAUACCAGAGGCAAAACUCAGCCGCAGAAAGAGCAAGAAAUGAACAUGUUUCUAAAGCAAAUUGUCAUACUUCAUUUGCACAUCCUAACAAUCAAAGCAGCACAAGGGAUUUGUUGCUGGCAGCACAUGCAGAUCAGCUUGAGGAAACUCUCAGGUUAUGUGAGACAGGCUGGAGUCUAAUUGCACAGCUUAGAAGUAACCAAAUGGAUGUACCAACCUACAUGUCUCAGGCUGAAGAUUUACUGGACAGCCAUGUAUGGUGCCUCGAUACAUUCAGAGAUCAGCUGAAUUCAUUCUCAAGGUGCUCUUCACCAAACCCAAAUAGGCCAAGGAAUCACUCAAGCUUUGAUGGCAAUACAAAGUAGAAUCUGGAAUCUGAGUACAUUCAGAGAUCAGCUGAAUUCGUUCUCAAGGUGCUCUUCACCAAACCCAAAUAGGCCAAGGAAUCACUCAAGCUUUGAUGGCAAUACAUAGUAGAAUCUGGAAUCUGAGUACUUUCAGAGAUCAGCUGAAUUCAUUCUCAAGGUGCUCUUCACCAAACCCAAAUCGGCCAAGGAAUCACUCAAGCUUUGAUGGCAAUACAUAGUAGAAUCUGGAAUCUGAGUACAUCCAGAGAUCAGCUGAAUUCAUUCUCAAGGUACUCUUCACCAAACCCAAAUUGGUCAAGGAAUCACUCAAACCUUGAUGGGAAUACAUAGUAGAAUCUGAAUUCUGAACACAUUCAGAAACCAACUGAAUUCAUUCUUAAGGUGCUCUUCACCAAACCCAAAUCGGUCAAGGAAUCACUAAAGCUUUGAUGGCAAUACAUAGUAGAAUCUGAAUUCUGAACACAUCCAGAGACCAACUGAAUUCAUUCUCAAGGUGCUCUUCACCAAAUCAGCCAAGAAAUCACUCAAGCUUUGAUGGCAAUACAUAGUAGAAUCUGGAAUAUGAGUACAUUCAGAGGUCAGCUGAAUUCAUUCUCAAGGUGCUCUUCACCAAACCCAAAUAGGCCAAGGAAUCACUCAAGCUUUGAUGGCAAUACAUAGUAGAAUCUGAAUUCUGAACACAUUCAGAGACCAACUGAAUUCAUUCUCAAGGUGCUGUUCACCAAACCCAAAUAGGCCAAGGAAUCACUAAAGCUUUGAUGGCAAUACAUAGUAGAAUCUGGAAUAUGAGUACAUUCAGAGAUCAGCUGAAUUCAUUCUCAAGGUGCUCUUCACCAAACCCAAAUCAGCCAAGGAAUCACACAAGCUUUGAUGGCAAUACAUAGUAGAAUUUGGAAUCUGAGUACAUUCAGAGACCAACUGAAUUCAUUCUCAAGGUGUUCUUCACCAAAUAGGUCAAGAAAUUAUUCAAAUCUUUAAUAAAAAUGCAGUAAAUUGAUUCAGGAAUCUGAUUAUAGUCGGGGUCCCGCUGAAUUUAUUCUCGAAGUGCUCUUAAUCACACAGAAAUUGAUCAGGGAAUCUUAAAAAAUAUGAAAAAUGCAAAAGAAAGAGCUUAUUCCGUUCAGAAUAGUGUUUGAGAUAUUGGCUAUAGACCUGCUUUAGAGUAAAACCAACGGUGGAAUAUGUUUUUUGAUUUAGGAGUAACAUGUUACCCAUUAAUGAACAUAGAUUCAUUAAUUUCACUGUCAGUCAAUCUCUCAUGGUGUUGGGAACACCCUUGAUUGUGAAAAUUAUGCAUUUAAUUUAGAUGUGAACUUGAGGUUUUAGGUGGCAUUAUUAUCUAUGUGAAUGCUACAUUCUAAAUGUAAAAUACAGUGGAAACUCAGUAAAAUCAAAAUUAUAAGGACGAUCAAUAUCACCCUGAAAAAGCUGAAACUUGUAUUUUUUAUAUAUUUCUUGGAUUUCAAUAAGUAGCACGCUUAUAGCUGGGGCAAGAAAUCUGGUCUUUUACAUCAACAUCCUUUUAUCAGGUUUUUAUGCCGAGAUUCCACUGUAUUUUAGUUGAAUAAUAUGAUUGUUAUUUAUUACAUUAUUAUAUAAUACACAUUGUGAACUUGUGAUUGCAUAUAUUCAAAGAUAGGUGUAACUCGCAAGUAGGGUUAAAGUAGGAAAAAAAAACUGGAAAUUUCAGAUUUGACAUUUUCCAUACUUGCAGCUUGUCUUAUUAAUGAAAAUUUACUAGUUAAGUACUUUUCAUUCCAGCAAUGUGAUAUUUCUCUCCUUUGGUGUCAUAAGCAGUAUUUUUUUCUCAGUCUUUCUCCUUCAUUAACACACAAAGAAGUACAAGUGAAGAUGAAUGUUGUAAAUAAUUCUUUUGUAUUUAAAUAAUUGCACUGUUUGUACAUUUUUGAAAUAUGAUAAAUUUCUUAACAUAACAUUCAUGUGCUACAUUCAUCAUUAUUAAAUACAUGUAGUUAGUUCUUUGAUACACAAUAAAAUGGCUGAUCCUUUUUAUAAUGGAAUUAUGUGCAAUGAAAUGGAAGAACUUCAUUUAGGUACAUAUACAGAAUUGACAAAUUAUUAAAACUUACUAAAUGUAAUGUACAACAAAACUUGUUAUAACUAAUCCAUGCAUCUGAAACAGUUAGUUUGUUUCAUCAUAUAUGCACCAACAAUUUUCAUUAUCAUGAGAAGCUUGUUGUCAACAACUUUUUUUCUAAUGGAGUGUUGCAAGAAACUCGCGAUCAAUUGCAAGUCAAUUUCCCGUCCCUAAAUCAAUCAUACGUCU